CUCCCUUCAAUCCACUUGACUUCCUCAAAUUCUCAGAUUCAUCUCUAGUCACCAUCGAUUGAAGCUUCAUCACCACACUCCUUUUGACCCCAUCGCUCAUUAUCCCACCACCACCAGCUCGUCACCGCCAUCACCAUCAUCGCCAUAUCCCUCAUCCGCCAUCUCUCUCUCUCUCUCUCUUUCUCUCUCUCUCUCUCUCAUUUUGUUUUGAUUUUACAAGAAAAAGAUGAAUUAGUGUUACCACCAUACUCACACCUACUUCCUCAAGCUUCCCAAUUUCUUCACGCCAAAGGGAGCUGGGUGAAGUUGAGUACUUGGUGCUUGACGAAGCUGACCAGAUGCUUGCUGUUGGGUUUGAGGAGGCUGUGGAGUCGAUUCUCGAGCAGCCAGAUAAGAUUGCUGUUGAUUGUGGUGAGCAUAACCUCAAGGAACUAAAUGCCAUACAAAGGCUAGCAUGAAGUGUUGUCGUGAGAAGAGUUGGUGGUCGUGAGCUUGAACACAGAGGAGGCACGGCAUUGUGGUAGUGGUGCUAGCUGCCUCUGCUCACCGGAGACUGAAGAUAAUACUUCAUGGUGCCUUGUAGUACAGCCAUUUUCUCGAGUCUCUCUCUCUCCACCAAGUCAUCAUCUCCUUUUGUAAACAAUAUGUAUUGACUUUGUAUGUUAUAAAACUCAUCGUUGAGUUUGUCUUUUGUUCUGUUUUUAAACAUUUAAAACUAUUGUUAACAUAAAUUAUAAAUAAAAAAUAAUAUAUAAAUCAUUUAAAACA